rnacentral:misc_RNA from 1 species
ACUGAACCCAAACCCCCAGAAUGGCGACCAAGGGCCUGGACCAUUGGGGAGACAUCUUGGUGGUGGUUGUGUACUUUUGCUUCAUCCUUGGCAUCGGGAUAUGGUCUCUGUGCAGACCAAACCGUGGAAAUGUAAACAGUUAUUUUCUGGCUGGACGAGCAAUGCCCUGGUUUGCUGUCGGAGCAUCUGUGUUCUCUAGCAACAUCGGCAGCGAACACUUUGUGGGAUUGGCCGGGGCCGGGGCCUCCUCGGGGAUAGUUCUUGUGCUCUACGAGUGGUUUGUGAUUUUCGAGAUUUUGGCCUGUGCCUGGAUGUUCCUUCCCGUCUAUAUCUCGGCAGGGGUGUUUACGUUACCUGAGUACCUGCAUAGAAGACAUGGGCGGGGCAGAAUCAGGGUCUACCUCAGCUGUCUGGCUCUCGUACUUUACAUCCUCUCCAAGCUCGUGGUGAGCAUUUUCUCGGGUUCAAUGUUCAUCCAGAUGGCUCUAGGAUGGAAUAUGUACGCCUCCAUUAUCGCUCUUUUGGUUGUCACCGGCAUAUUUACCGUGUUAGGUGGACUGACUGCGGUGAUGUACACAGACACGUUCCAAACGGCCAUCAUGAUGAUUGGGGCUGUCAUAGUAACCGGUUACGGUUUUAACGAAGUUGGUGGAUAUUCCAACCUGCAAACAAAGUACAUGAACUCUGUUCCGUCCGUCCGUAAUGAGAAUACGUCGUGUGGUCUGCCAAAGCAGGACGCCUUCCAUUUAUUUCUGGACCCUGUUGACAGCGACUAUCCUUGGCCGGCCAUCGUGCUUAUGUCAACGAUCGGGGCAGUCUGGUACUGGUGCUGCGACCAGAUGAUCGUACAAAGGUCUUUGGCCGCCAAAAACAUCUCCCAUGCUAAAGGGGGGUCGAUCUUAACAGGAUACUUCAAGCUCUUACCGAUAGUCCUGCUGAUCUUCCCUGGAAUGAUCAGUAGAGUCCUGUACCCAGAUGAUGUGGCGUGUACGGACCCGACUGUUUGUGAGGCUGUUUGUGACAACCCUGUGGGGUGCUCCAACAUCGCCUACCCAAAACUCGUCUUGGAGCUUCUUCCUUACGGAUUGCGGGGACUGCUGAUGGUUGUCAUGUUCUCGGCUGUGAUGAGUUCCCUCACGUCCAUUUUCAACAGUUCUAGUACAAUCUUUACCAUGGACAUCUGGAGACGAAUUAGAAAAGAGGCCACUCAGAGGGAACUGCUAGUGGUGGGACGGUAAGAUAUGUGACAAACAGAAAAUUCUUCUCCCAACAUGACUUAGAACUAUUUUAACAAGAGCUUGGAUUUUGGGUAGUUGUGUCAAACAGCAAUUUGAUGUAGGCCUGUCUAUUUCAUUGAAAUCAACAAGAUUUGUCUGGCUUUUGAGCUUUUUGCUUGAAACCGCAACAUUUUUAAUUUGUUUUGACGAAAGGAAUAGAUAGCUAUGUCCUACUGAAAGUCCAAGGUCUUGUUAAAAUGGUUCUAACGAAAUAUCAAGUUUGAUAUUAUCUCAGCCACUUUAUAAAAUGGAAGUAAAAAAAAUCAAGGAGGAUACAAUUUUAUGUUUAAUUAAAUACAUGUAAAUAGAAUAAAAAGAUUUAAAACUGCGGAUUUGUUCGAAUGACCUUGUACCUUGAACUUAGUUGUUUUUGGUUUCAGUGUAUUUGUUGUGUUUAUGUGUGGGGUCAGUGUUCUCUGGGUCCCGAUCAUCAAGUCCUCCUCUGGGGGGAAACUCUUCACUUAUAUGACCGCUGUGGAGGGCUAUAUUGCAGCACCUUUAGGAAUAGUUUUCCUUUUCUCUAUUUUCUGGACAAAAACAACGGAACCUGUGAGUCUUGCAAAAAUAUAUAUCUAAAGCUACUUAACUAAGUUUUGAAUCUGGAAGAAUGAAUUUUACAACAUUUUUUUUUUACAUUAAGCAGCUACUUACUCAAUCUUUUUGAUCAAACAAUCAACUUGUCAAUUCUUCAUUUUCAAGUCUUUUUUUUAAACAAAAACAAACGUAGAGGUCAUUUAUUUUUCUUUAAAGGCGGUCUUCUUUGGAUUAAUCAUAGCAAAUAUCGUAGGCGGAAUACGUCUUGUUCUAGAAUUUGUCUACCCAACGCCAUCAUGCGGUGAAUUUGACGAGAGGCCACAGAUUCUGUCUAAGAUGAAUUACCUGUACUUUGGCGUGAUGCUGUUGUUCAUCACAGCGAGUGUCAUCGUAGUGGUCAGCUUGUUAACAUCUCCAAGAAAUCCCGAUGAGCUGAAGGGAGUCACGUGGUGGACCCGUUACGGUCAGGAAACAUCAGGGGAGACAAUCGAGUGUACUAACUCAAAUGUCAACAACGAUAUUACUCUAGAGGCAGACACAGAAGACAAAGAGGAGAAGACUGCGUGUCAAAAGAUCCUGACUGUUCUGUUCGGAAAGACAGACGUUCAUCAAGUGGAGGAAUUUCAGGUGGAAAAACGCCGGAAGUUUCUCUUGCAGGGGAAGAAUUCUAGCACCCUUCUUAAUAUAAACGCUAUUUUGUUAAUGGUUCUCAUUGCAUUUCUUACUGGAUAUUUUAGUUAGAACCCUUUUCUUUAUGAUCAUUUUAUCUUUUCUUUAUGAUCAUUUUAUCCAUUAGAUGAAUUAGAAGCAUUUACACUAUAACCCAUCUAAUCAUUCAUUUUCCCUCAUUAAUCAACCCUUUCCAUGAGCAUUUAAAAGUAAAUGUAUUUUUGUAUCUUGCUAUAAAAAAAUAAAAAUAAAAACACCC